rnacentral:misc_RNA from 1 species
GGAAGCUUACAAGCGCAUCGAAGAACUCGCAGAACUUGACGAACUGACCGGAUCGCUCAACCGCCGCAGCAUCAUGCAAACGCUCGACGAAGAAAUCGCCCGCUCCCGGCGCAGCAAGACGCCUUGCGCUGUCGCGUUGAUCGAUCUCGACUGGUUCAAGCGCAUCAACGACCGGUUCGGACAUCCUGUCGGCGACGAAGCAUUGCGGGCUUUUGCGAUCACAGUAUUCGCCAAUAUCCGCAGCAU